GAGGUUGUGACUCAGUGGUAGAGCGCUUGCCUAGCAUGUAUGAGACACUGGGUUCGAUUCUCAGAACCACA
rnacentral:tRNA from 1 species